AUUGAACGCUGGCGGCAUGCUUUACACAUGCAAGUCGGACGGCAGCGGGGUAGUGCUUGCACUACUGCCGGCGAGUGGCGAACGGGUGAGUAACAUAUCGGAACGUACCGAGCAGUGGGGGAUAACUAAUCGAAAGAUUAGCUAAUACCGCAUAUAUUCUGAGGAAGAAAGCAGGGGACCUUUGGGCCUUGCGCUGUUUGAGCGGCCGAUAUCUGAUUAGCUGGUUGGUGGGGUAAAGGCCUACCAAGGCGACGAUCAGUAGCGGGUCUGAGAGGAUGAUCCGCCACACUGGGACUGAGACACGGCCCAGACUCCUACGGGAGGCAGCAGUGGGGAAUUUUGGACAAUGGGGGCAACCCUGAUCCAGCCAUGCCGCGUGUCUGAAGAAGGCCUUCGGGUUGUAAAGGACUUUUGUCCGGGAAGAAAAGCGCGAUGUUAAUACCACUGCGUGCUGACGGUACCGGAAGAAUAAGC
rnacentral:rRNA from 1 species